rnacentral:rRNA from 1 species
UACGUAGGGUGCAAGCGUUAAUCGGAAUUACUGGGCGUAAAGCGUGCGCAGGCGGUUAUGCAAGACAGAUGUGAAAUCCCCGGGCUCAACCUGGGAACUGCAUUUGUGACUGCAUAGCUAGGGUGCGGAAGAGGGAAGCGGAAUUUCCGGUGUAGCGGUGAAAUGCGUAGAUAUCGGAAGGAACACCAGUGGCGAAAGCGGCUUCCUGGUCCAGCACCGACGUUCAGGCACGAAAGCGUGGGGAGCAAACAGG